rnacentral:lncRNA from 1 species
UUCAAUCCAAAGAGUGUAAGUUCUCUUUGCUGUUGAUUAAGUUCUCUUUGCUGUUGAUUUUUCCCCUUCUCCUCUUUCAUAGUAUGUUCAUAGUAGUAAAACUAACUCUUAUAUAUAAGUGUGAUCAAGUAGCAGGUGAAAGCUGGUAGGUGGAGGUUGUCCUGCCAGCUUGCCAAGGGUUAGUUUGGUCAUUACCUUUAUAUAAGGUCAAACAGUUCAUUUUGUAUUUGAGUUGGUACAGGUGUAGUCUCAGAGUUAUGGUAAUACAACAGCUGUCCGUUGAGAUUGUACGUGUAACUCCACAAAUUACUCUUACAACAGCUUAAGCUUUGGUUUUGUCUCACUAAAGAACCCAAAAUUCAUUCUCACACCUGGGAUAAUCUUCCGAUUUUGCUCAGAUUUUCAAUCAAAAGAGAGAAAGUUCGUAGUAAAACUAAUAGAAAACUCCAUUGGUGUGCUACUUGGAAUUCUAAUUUUAUCGUCUCUGUGAGUUCUUAGUUGUGUGCUUAAUUACCUGGACUCUAACAACAGUAUACAAGAUCAGUACAGCUUCAGAUCUUGCCUCACUAGCUCAACAUCAGCAUACAAGAUAAAAGAUUUUCAAAAAUGAAAAGACCCAGGUAGUUGUAGUAAAUAAAUUUGUGUUUGAUUGUUUAUUGUUUGAUUCUUUUAACUGAAUUUCCCAUUAGAUAAUCUUUUCUUCUAGUUGUUUGGUUGAUCUGCUAUACAUACUACGAAAUUUGUGGGUUUCCCGCUUUUUCUCUCUGGAAAAAAAAUAGAAAUAACUAUUUCAUAGUUCUGCAAAAUUUCUCGAUUUGUUGUGUUUUCUGCCCUUGCAAUCUGUUGUUGUGUAUUGACAUUUUCUAACUACAUGGAUGAGUUUUUUGAGUUUAAGGAUCAUAUUCUUCAAUUUAAAAUAAGUAAUGAAACACACAACAUACCUGAUGUAAUUCCACAAGUGGAGUAUGUGGAGGAUAGAGUGUACACAAACUGUAAUAGUUGGGGUUAUAUGUGUCUGUGCUUACAAAGGGAUUGCUAAUAUCUUCAUCAAACAAGUAACUGAAGCUUAACAUACCUUCUUUAGCACAAAAGACCAAUAAUAACAGUAACCAAACACCGAAUUAAUGGAGAAAAGCUACUAAUAAGUACUCUCCAGCUUAUAAUGUACAAAUGAAGUGUACAACUAUCAGCUGGAUUUUCUCUUAUGAGUAUUACUGAUUUUAGAGUUAUGGCGUUAUCUGUUUCGAGGCAAUUCACCAGCAACACAAAAUGGUAUGUAGUUAAAAUUGUUUUUGUUUUUUAUGUAUCUUUGCCCUUUUCUGUAUGUUUGCUACUGAGUUAUGUCUUUCUAAACUAGGACCAUUUGUUUAAUAUUCUAAUAUCACUUCCAUUUGUUGCGAUUCUUGGUUUUCAGAUUGAAUAAAUGUGCUAUGUCUUAAGAAUGGAUUAGGGUCCAAUCAAUAUAGAGGUUCAUAUUGGUUAGGGAAAGGACUGGUGGUUUGGUUAUAUGUACAUGUAUAAUAUGUGACUGAAAUCAACCAAUCAUGAACAUGAUUGAAAUAUGUAAUGCGUAUAUAUAAAUUGACUCAAUGGAAAUAUUUGGCAUGUAAAAUAAGACCAUUAAAUACUACGUGAUGAGGUUAAAAAGGGGUCAAAUUGCAAAAACCAAUAGUAUCUGAGGCUCAAAGUCUUCUGUAAGCAAGAUAUUUGCAGCCUUAAUAUCUAUGUGAGUUUGUUGGAACGUCCUUUAAUCCGUCCUUGGUAAUUUGUUCUUCUGAUUUUACAUGGACAACCAAUUUAUGACAUAUAAACUUUCACUUCGCUUAACUGCAUAGUUCAAAAGGAAGUUGUUUGUAUAGAUCAACAAUGUUGGUUCCAAAGCUUUGAAUUUUUAUUCGGCAUACACUUUUAUUAUUCAAAUUGACAUUAUUUUUAAGAUACAUAAGGUAGUGAAGUUCUUUGUAUGGAUCGACUGGGUUGGUUCAAAAACUUUAAAUUUUCAUUCAGCAUAUGCUUCUCUUAUUCAAACUGACAUUAUAAGUACAUAAAGAUAUCUAAAUUAUUGGUACCACUUGAUAUAUUUCAUGACAAAGGGAUCAGUAGAGUAGAUUUUCCAGUCGGCUGUAACAUUUUCGAUUGCUGCCUUACAAUGGCCGAUAUUCUUCCAUCCCGUACUGACAGAUUUUACCAGUUCUUUCUCCUUUUAUUAUGUAUAUUGAUACCUAAUUCAUCUUCUAUUUUGACAAUGCAACAGCGAAUACCAUAAUGGAUCAGAGGUUUCUUGUGGACUCCAUCACAAAAGAAACUACAGACUGAACAAGGUUCAGGUAGUUGACAAGUUUCGCCCUUGCAAGAGCAAAGACUCAUCUGUCCAUUCUCACACAAUUCUUGUGCAAGAUAAAAGAGUAAUUUUCUCUUCAUAUCAACUCCCUAAAUACUCAGGUUGAUACUGUAAACGUUAGCUGCAACAAUGUUUUACAACCUGUAAAAUGUCUGCUAUAAAGAAAUGAAUGUGCACCUCACAACAAUGUCUGUUUUUUCUUGUAUACCAAGCUUGGGGAUAAUUUCUAUCAAAUAUUAUAGAAGGAUGUAUAGGUGCAGACUUGUAUUAUUAUGUUGUGCAGUGAGGUUAAAAGCGAUAAGUAUGUGAUUAAAAGUCAUGACUGAGAAAUGUUAAGGGACUAGACCAGAGAAAAAAUUUAGCAAAGUAUCUAUAAAUACAAAAGGUAUAAUACCAGUUGUCUACUCCCUAAAUACCCAAGCUGAUACUGUAAACGUUAUCUACAAUAAUCCUUUAGAAACUGCAAAAUGUUUGUCACGAAAAACUGAAUUUGCACCUUAGAAAAAGAAGGAACGAAAAAUCUAACUACUUCCUCUAUAAUUAUAAUAGCAUAUUUGAAGUUGUUUCUCUUUUACCUAACUACGGGAACAACAGUUUUCCAUAGUACUAUACAACGAUGACAUUCCCAAAUACGAGAAGUUAUUUCUCCUUUUCCAC